rnacentral:rRNA from 1 species
UACGGAGGGUGCAAGCGUUAUCCGGAUUCACUGGGUUUAAAGGGUGCGUAGGUGGGCAGGUAAGUCAGUGGCGAAAUCUCCGAGCUUAACUCGGAAACUGCCGUUGAUACUAUUUGUCUUGAAUAUUGUGGAGGUAAGCGGAAUAUGUCAUGUAGCGGUGAAAUGCUUAGAUAUGACAUAGAACACCAAUUGCGAAGGCAGCUCUAGACGUAACGAUGCUGAGGCACGAAAGCGUGGGGAGCAAACAGG